GCACAAGCAGCGGAGCGUGUGGUUCAAUUCGAUGAUACGCGAGGAACCUUACCUGGGCUUAAAUGUAGAGUGCAUUUUUAGAGAUAGAAAUUCCCUUCGGGGCUUUCUGCAAGGUGCUGCAUGGUUGUCGUCAGCUCGUGCCGUGAGGUGUCGGGUUAAGUCCCAUAACGAGCGCAACCCUUAUCGUUAGUUGCCAUCUGGUAAUGCAGGGGACUCUAGCGAACUGCCACCGUAAGGUGAGAGGAAGUGGGAUGACGUCAAAUCAGCACGGCCCUUAUGUCCAGGGCUACACACGUGUUACAAUGGUCGGUACAGAGGGCAGCUACCUGGUGACAGGAUGCUAAUCUCGAAAACCGGUCUCAGUUCGGAUCGAAGUCUGCAACUCGACUUCGUGAAGCUGGAUUCGCUAGUAAUCGCGCAUCAGCUAUGGCGCGGUGAAUACGUUCCCGGGCCUU
rnacentral:rRNA from 1 species